rnacentral:rRNA from 1 species
CCUACGGGAGGCUGCAGUCGAGAAUCAUUCACAAUGGGGGAAACCCUGAUGGUGCGACGCCGCGUGGGGGAAUGAAGGUCUUCGGAUUGUAAACCCCUGUCAUGUGGGAGCAAAUUAAAAAGAUAGUACCACACUAGGAAGAGACGGCUAACUCUGUGCCAGCAGCCGCGGUAAUACAGAGGUCUCAAGCGUUGUUCGUAAUCACUGGGCGUAAAGCGUGCGUAGGCUGUUUCGUAAGUCGUGUGUGAAAGGCGCGGGCUCAACCCGCGGACGGCACAUGAUACUGCGAGACUAGAGUAAUGGAGGGGGAACCGGAAUUCUCGGUGUAGCAGUGAAAUGCGUAGAUAUCGAGAGGAACACUCGUGGCGAAGGCGGGUUCCUGGACAUUAACUGACGCUGAGGCACGAAGGCCAGGGGAGCGAAAGGGAUUAGAUACCCCAGUAGUC